rnacentral:rRNA from 1 species
AUGUGCCAAGCAGCCGCGGGUAAUUCCAGCUCCAAUAGCGUAUAUUAAAGUUGUUGCGGGUUAAAAAAGCUCGGUAGUUGGAUUUCCAGUUCUGGACUGACGGUUCACCGCCCGGUGCAUACUGUCACGCUCCGAACAGCCACAACAGCCCGCUGGCUCGCACGGGGUGCUCUUCAUCGAGUGUCCCGCGUGGCCGGCAGAGUUUACUUUGAAAAAAUUAGAGUGCUCAAAGCAGGCUACACUGACGGCCUGAAUGCCUAUGCAUGGAAUAAUGGAAUAGGACCUCGGUUCUAUUUUGUCGGUUUUCUGAACCCGAGGUAAUGACUAAUAGGAACAGGCGGGGGCAUUCGUAUUGCGACGCUAGAGGUGAAAUUCUUGGACCGUCGCAAGACGAACUACUGCGAAAGCAUUUGCCAAGGAUGUUUUCAUUAAUCAAGAACGAAAGUUAGAGGUUGGAAGGCGAUCAGAUCCCGCCCUAGUUCUAACCAUAAACGAUGCUGACCAGCGAUCCGCCGGCGUUAUUCCCAUGACCCGGCGGGCAGCUUCCGGGAAACCAAAGUCUUUGGGUUCCGGGGGAAGUAUGGUUGCAAAGCUGAAACUUAAAGGAAUUGACGGAAGGGCACCACCAGGAGUGGAGCCUGCGGCUUAAUUUGACUCAACACGGGGAACCUCACCAGGCCCAGACACCGGAAGGAUUGACAGAUUGAGAGCUCUUUCUCGAUUCGGUGGGUGGUGGUGCAUGGCCGUUCUUAGUUGGUGGAGCGAUUUGUCUGGUUAAUUCCGAUAACGAACGAGACUCUGGCCUACUAACUAGUCGACGGAUCUCCAGCAAUUGGUGUCCAGUUCGCAGCUUCUUCUUAGAGGGAUAAGCGGCAAUUCUAGCCGCACGAGAUUGAGCAAUAACAGGUCUGUGAUGCCCUUAGAUGUUUGGGCCGCACGCGCGCUACACUGAAGGGAUCAACGUGUCCUCCCCCUCCGAGAGGAGCGGGUAACCCGUUGAAAUCCUUUCAUGAUAGGGAUUGGGGUUUGCAAUUGUCUCCCAUGAACGAGGUAAUUCCCAGUAAGCGCAAGUCAUGAGCUUGCGUUGAGUUACGUCCCUGCCCUGUGAUAAAAA